rnacentral:rRNA from 1 species
GACGAACGCUGGCGGCGUGCUUAACACAUGCAAGUCGAACGGAAAGGCCCUGCUUUUGUGGGGUGCUCGAGUGGCGAACGGGUGAGUAACACGUGAGUAACCUGCCCUUGACUUUGGGAUAACUUCAGGAAACUGGGGCUAUUACCGGAUCGGAGCUCCUGCUGCAUGGUGGGGGCUGGAAAGUUUCGGCGGUUGGGGAUGGACUCGCGGCUUAUCAGCUUGUUGGUGGGGUAGUGGCUUACCAAGGCUUUGACGGGUAGCCGGCCUGAGAGGGUGACCGGCCACAAUGGGACUGAGAUACGGCCCAGACUCCUACGGGGGGCAGCAGUGGGGAAUAUUGCACAAUGGGCGGAAGCCUGAUGCAGCAACGCCGCGUGCGGGAUGACGGCCUUCGGGGUGUGAACCGCUUUCGCCUGUGACGAAGCGUGAGUGACGGUAAUGGGUAAAGAAGCACCGGCUAACUACGUG